AUUGAACGCUGGCGGCAGGCCUAACACAUGCAAGUCGAACGAGUGGCGGACGGGUGAGUAAUGUCUGGGAACCUGCCCGAUGGAGGGGGAUAACUACUGGAAACGGUAGCUAAUACCGCAUACCAUCGGAUGUGCCUAGAUGGGCUUGGCUAGUGGGUGGGGUAACGGCUCACCUAGGCGACGAUCCCUAGCGGAUCUGAGAGGAUGACCGGCCACACGGGAACUGCGACACGGUCAAGACGCCUACGGGAGGCAGCAUUGGGGAAUAUUGCACAAGGGGCGCAAGCCGGAUGCAGCCAGGCCGCGGGUGUGAAGAAGGCCUUCGGGUUGUAAAGCACUUUCAGCGAGGAGGCGUUACUCGCAGAAGAAGCACCGGCUAACUCCGUGCCAGCAGCCGCGGUAAUAC
rnacentral:rRNA from 1 species